rnacentral:SRP_RNA from 1 species
GUGUGGGCCCUGUGCAACGAGACCCCGUGAACCAUGUCAGGCGGGAGACCGAGCAGCAUUAAGCGGUUUGUUUUGUGUGCGCAGCAAGCCUGCACAUC